rnacentral:rRNA from 1 species
CCUACGGGUGGCAGCAGUGAGGAAUAUUGGUCAAUGGCCGUAAGGCUGAACCAGCCAAGUCGCGUGAAGGUAGAUGGAUUAAUGGUGUGUAAACUCUUUUUAUAGGGGAAUAAGGUUAUCCACGUUGGGAUAUUUGCAUUUACCCUAUGAUUAGGCAUCGGCUAACUCGGUGCCAGCAGACGCGUUAAUACGGAGGAUGCGGGCGUUAUCCGGAUUGAUGGGGUUUAAAGGGUGAGUAGGUUGUUUUUUAAGUAGGCGGUGAAAGUUUGUGGAUAAAGGAGAAAAUUGCCGUUGAAACUGGAAGACUUGAGUGUGUAUGCGGGAGGAGGAAUGCGUGGUGUAGCGGUGAAAUGCAUAGAUAUCACGCAGAACUCCGAUUGCGAAGGCAGCUUACUAAGCCAUAAUUGACACUGAAGCACGAAAGCGUGGGGAUCAAACAGGAUUAGAUACCCUUGUAGUC